UGAUUCUGCCCUCGUGUCCUUGAUUUUUCCUAGUCUUGAGGCAGGAUCAUGACAGACCCGUGUUUUGUGUACAAGCACAUGGCCUUGCCUUUGGGCCAUGUGCUUGUGUUGUCUCGUUCCCUUGCCCCGCCCCCCUUGUUAACCUAGUCGUGUCUUGAUUGUCCCAUCUGUGCCACCUGUCGUGUCUUGAUUGUUCCCCUAUUUAGCUUUCCUAGUGUGCUCUGUCUUGCGUCGGUUCAUUGUACCUCUGAUGAGAAUUGUUCCCUAAGAUUUGUCAUUGUGAUUGUACCUCAACGGUGUUCUACAAUUGUGAUUGUGUGUGAGAUUGUGCUGUACCCGCUGAAGUCCUUGUAUUACCUUCAGACAUCCCCCAACCCCAACACUCAUCAUGUGAGCUGCAGCUGUACAGAUCCAUUCAGCAUUGGGGGAGGUCAAUGGGAGAAGGGCCUCAGUCAGGAACAUGACCAAGAACCUGAUGGUCACUCCAGCGUUUCUCUGUGGAGAGAGGAGAACAUUCCAAGAACAACCAUUUCUGCAGCACUCCACCAAUCAGGCCUGAACGGUAGAGUAGUCAGACCCAAACCUACACUACAGUGAAAUAUGGUGGUGGCAGUGUCAUGCUGUGGGGAUGUUUUUCAGCGGCAGGGAGUGGGACACUGGUCAUGAUCGAGGGAAAGAUAAAAAUGCAGCAAUGUACAGAGACAUCCUUGAUAAAAACCUGCUACAGAGCACUCACGACCUCAGACUGGGGUGAAGGUUCAUCUUCCAACAGGACAAUGACUCUAAGCACACAGCCAAGAUAACAAAGGAGUGGCUACAGGCGACUCUGUGAAUGUCCUUGAGUGGCCGAGCCAGAGCCCAGACUUGAACCCAAUUGAACGGGGAAGAAUGGGAGAAAUUGCCCAAGGUGUGCCAAGCUUAUAGCAUCAUACUCAAAAAGACUUGAGGCUCUAAUUUGGUGCUAAAAAUGCUUCAACGAAGUAUUGAGCAAAGGCUGUGAAUACUUAUGUACAUGUUGUUGUUUGUUUUUGUUUGUUUCUUUAUUUUUUUAACUUUUGGUUUUAUAUAUAAAAAAAAAACUGAACAAAUAGUGUUAAAUGCUAUUUAAACGAAUUCUAAUUUUAAUAUUUACAUUUUACAUAAACUUUCUAAUUUGAAUAAACUAUAUAUACAACAAAAUAAACUUUACAUGAAAUAAAUCAAAAAUGGUUUGUGUUUCCUACAGGGCAGGGAAGGGAAGAGGUAUAUGUAAAAUGAAGACACAAGUUUCUAAGCAGUAGUACACAUCUAAAUGUUCGGUUGUUUUCAGGUCCAGAUAGAUUUCAGUUUACAGGGAUGCCUACACUGGAUGGCCAAUUUCACAUGCAA